rnacentral:piRNA from 1 species
AGGAGCACGGCGCGGGGAGCGGG